UCUUGCCUGAGCUCGUUGAUCUCCUCCUUUCAUCUGCUCGGGAGCUGGAGCUUGACACUCUGGACUCCGCUUUCGUUGACUAGAAACAAGGACAAACAUGUAUGCCAAAUGUAUUUGAGUGAGACUGUGUCCUGCUGGAUGUGAGACAGUUUAUUUUUUUAUUGAACUUUGAUCUGAAGACGCUAGCUGAUAAAGUUACACACCGCAGAGUUCAAUCUAACGUUAACCGUUUACAACAGCAGCUCCGACACACUGCUGUCCGCGCUGAAGUACCGUACCAAAUGUGGCAAGAAAAUGGGACAGACAGAGAGGGGAAACAAGGAGUGUAAACGUUUCUAGGAAGGCGGCGGUAAUGCACCAAUGAGCUGGAUGCCAACAGACGUAAAACACAAAGAAGAAGAAGAAGAAGAAGAAGUUAGCGCAGCGCCCCCAGCGGUGAAGGCGUAAAAUAACAUGCCGCUCUGUAAAGUGCUGCUGUGUGCAUUUUAAACAGGUAUUUGUCCUGCUGGUGGUGGUGGUAGAGAAAAAGUCAAGGGAUCACCAAAUGUAAUGCAAUUCAUCCUGAGGAGGACCUGAAUGUCUGAACCUGCUACCACAAAAACACACAUAACCACUGCUAUUGUACAAAAACACAUUUAUUAUGACAGUAUUAGUAUAUUAUACAAAUACGAGCACAUCUAAGGACACGUAGUAUAAAAAUACAAAAUCUUGAUGUGCUUCAGUGUUCUGGGCAUCAUAAACCAUUUGACAAACCAAAAUUGAUUAACACUACUGUAUAGUCAGUUCCAUCUAGCCCUGCAGUCCUAUGUUUUAAUGUUAAACACAAAACAAACUGUCCACUCAGGCACUCAGACACCAUUCAGCUUAAAAAGAUUUUGCGAAACAAGAAAUGGCUGCUCUCUAAUCCUGUGAUAUACACAGUUGCAGGUGUGACUGUUCACAACUCAGAAUGAAAAA